rnacentral:tRNA from 1 species
GGCCACGUAGCUCAACGGAUAGAGCGCCAGCCUUCUAAGCUGUAGAUCCCGGUUCGAUUCCGGGCGUGGCUGCCA